rnacentral:lncRNA from 1 species
GCCCGCCUCCCCUUGGGUCGCAGCCGCAGCCGCCGAUUGUCGCCCUCCUCGCGGCGACCGAAACAGGGCAACUCACGGAUUGCCCUUGUUCCCAGCCGCGUCACCACCACUUUUCCCAACCGCAUCGCUGCCGCUCGAUCACCCGGCCAGCGACCUCUUCUCCUUGCGUCCCCAUCUCGCUCGAGCGAGAAGGACCGCCGGCACCGCAG